rnacentral:RNase_P_RNA from 1 species
UCAGUAAAACAAAUGGUCGCGGCUGGCACACCGAAAGGCGCCAGACGAGGAAAGUCCGGGCUUCACAGGGCAGGAUGCCGGAUAACGUCCGGUGGAGGCGACUCCAAGGAAAGUGCAACAGAAAUGAACCGCCUGCACCUUGCAGGUAAGGGUGGAAGGGCAGUGUAAGAGACUACCGCCCUCCUGGCAACAGGAGGGGCACAUGUAAACCCCAUCCGAAGCAAGACCGAAUCAAAGCAUAUGGCGGCCCGUCAGCUUUAGGUAGGUCGCUUGAGCCUGCUGGCGACAGCAGGCCUAGAUAGAUGACCAUUCACGACAUAACCCGGCUUAUCGUUUUGCUGAAAAA